rnacentral:rRNA from 1 species
UAGGGAAUCUUCGGCAAUGGGGGGAACCCUGACCGAGCAACGCCGCGUGAGUGAAGAAGGUUUUCGGAUCGUAAAGCUCUGUUGUUAAGGAAGAACGAGUGUGAGAAUGGAAAGUUCAUGCUGUGACGGUACUUAACCAGAAAGGGACGGCUAACUACGUGCCAGCAGCCGCGGUAAUACGUAGGUCCCGAGCGUUGUCCGGAUUUAUUGGGCGUAAAGCGAGCGCAGGCGGUUAGAUAAGUCUGAAGUUAAAGGCAGUGGCUCAACCAUUGUAUGCUUUGGAAACUGUUUAACUUAAGUGCAGAAGGGGAGAGUGGAAUUCCGUGUGUAGCGGUGAAAUGCGUAGAUAUAUGGAGGAACACCGGUAGCGAAAGCGGCUCUCUGGUCUGUAACUGACGCUGAGGCUCGAAAGCGUGGGGAGCGAACAGG